rnacentral:lncRNA from 1 species
UCAACCACAGAGAAACGACAGACAUGUCCAAUGCCGCUGAAUCAACUGUUCUUCGCAUCCCCAAAGAUCGGUGUCAAUACCUCGUGAAUGCACGGCCACUCUUGCAGAGCGAGGUGACUGAAGGAAGAUUGAUCAACUUGACCAUGGAACCUCAACAGGUGAUUACCUCAAACUAUUGUCAUCAGUACACUUCAUUCUUCCACCGUUUCUUGUUCCUGCUUGUCUCCUAGAAAUUAUUCUCUCUAAUCUAUACAAAAACUGAAUACUUCUUAGCUUGCUUGUUUUUGUUCAUGAGCUAACCAUCAGGUAUGUAAUGUUCCAGGAUGGGACAGGAGAGGUUUUACUGAGCACAGAAAAAGAGACGCCAGAUGUCACCGACCUGUCAAGAUGUUCUCGAUUCAUCGAAGAAGCAACUCGAGGCCAAGCAAGUGGCCGAGCAGCGUAUGGGCACGUCCACAUAAUUGGGUCAUCAUCAGCCAUUAUUCACGCACGGGACCUUCUACUCCACUUAUAGUUCCACGUUGGGAGCAUUGCCACCCCUAUUCCAAAGAGAAACUGAGAGAGUUUACCCUGCAACUAUGUAUUUUUGCUAGUAUAAUGUCUGUAAUGUUCCACCCUUCAAUGGUCUUUCUUCUUUAUUCAGUGCCACUGAGAAAGAGUUAAUGAAGUAAUGAGAUUGGCUGGAAGCUUGGACCAUACUGUGGUCAGGCAACUUUGGAAAUUUGCAUCAACUAGCUUUCGUCUGCCAUUAUGCAUGCAGGCUGCUAAUGACAGACCAGUAAUGCUGGACAACAAAUUAUGACCAAUGAAUUCUGGGUGAAACUGGCUGAGCAAAUCCAUACAUCAAGAUAAAGAUCUUAGU